ACAAUCCAGCAGGUGUAACGGCUAACCACCGGCACGGAACCGAACCAUGCGAAGCCAUGGUGAGGGCAGUUUGUCAGCCACAACGUCUGCCUGUGCGUGUUCGCACGCAGACAGGCAAGUGAAGGUAUCGAGCCCCGAAAUUAUCCUUGUUGCAUUGGGUCAAGGGUUUCAUGUCCUGGGAGCCAAUAUCGGGACACACGUUAAAGGUGAGAGCGUUUCUGACAUGCCGGGGUCUAAGUCCG
rfam:Desulfobacteraceae bacterium 4484_190.3 ex4484_190.3_scaffold_23940, whole genome shotgun sequence.